GACGAACGCUGGCGGCGUGCUUAGCACAUGCAAGUCGAACGGAAAGGCCCUGCUUUUGUGGGGUGCUCGAGUGGCGAACGGGUGAGUAACACGUGAGUAACCUGCCCUUGACUUUGGGAUAACUUCAGGAAACUGGGGCUAAUACCGGAUAGGAGCUCCUGCUGCAUGGUGGGGGUUGGAAAGUUUCGGCGGUUGGGGAUGGACUCGCGGCUUAUCAGCUUGUUGGUGGAGUAGUGGCUUACCAAGGCUUUGACGGGUAGCCGGCCUGAGAGGGUGACCGGCCACAUUGGGACUGAGAUACGGCCCAGACUCCUACGGGAGGCAGCAGUGGGGAAUAUUGCACAAUGGGCGGAAGCCUGAUGCAGCAACGCCGCGUGCGGGAUGACGGCCUUCGGGUUGUAAACCGCUUUCGCCUGUGACGAAGCGUGAGUGACGGUAAUGGGUAAAGAAGCACCGGCUAACUACGUG
rnacentral:rRNA from 1 species